CAGAGGCUCCUCAUGGCUAACUGGGGCAUUACUGAGAAGGUCAGCUUCAUGGUAACAGAUAAUGCUGCCAACAUGAAGCUGAGUGUCCAGCUCCUCAACCUCCGGCACAUGCCCUGCUUCGCUCACACACUGAAUCUAAUUGUGAAAAAAGCAUUGGAUCAUACACCCGUUAUUAAUGAUAUAAGAGACAAAAGCAGGAAAGUGGUGGGACUGUUCAGGUCAAGCAGCAAGGCCAAAGAAAAACUAAAUGAAAUGCAAAUGCUGAUGGGACGGCCAAUGCUAAAACUACUUCAGGAGGUGGAUACCAGGUGGAACAGCACUUUUGACAUGUUUCAACGGCUGUAAGAGCAAAGAGAACCUGUGGAGGCAGCUCUGUCCAAUCUGGAGAAGGACAUUUCUCCUCUGACCAGUGCAGAUUAUGACAUCGUUCAGGAAUCGUUUCUGCUGCAGCCUGUCAAGGCAGCAACAACUGAGCUGUCAGAGGAGAAGAGGGUCUCAGCCUCAAAAGUGACCCCGCUGUAUAGAACGCUGCAGCAUAAGCUGUUUGAUCAUUUGAAACAAACAAAGCAACAAUCAACUUUACAGUUGGACACACUGUUGAAGGUCGGCCUGCAGCAAAGAUGUGGCCAGUAUGAGACAU